CACGUAGGGCGCAAGCGUUGUCCGGAAUUAUUGGGCGUAAAGAGCUCGUAGGUGGUUUGUUACGUCUGCUGUGAAAACCUAGGGCUUAACCCCGAGCCUGCAGUGGAUACGGGCAGACUGGAGGUAGGUAGGGGAGAAUGGAAUUCCCGGUGUAGCGGUGAAAUGCGCAGAUAUCGGGAGGAACACCGGUGGCGAAGGCGGUUCUCUGGGCCUUACCUGACGCUGAGGAGCGAAAGCGUGGGGAGCGAACAGG
rnacentral:rRNA from 1 species